CCCUUAGAUGUCCUGGGCCGCACGCGCGUUACACUGAUGCAUUCAACGAGCUUAUAACCUUGGCCGAGAGGCCUGGGCAAUCUUGUUAACGUGCAUCGUGAUAGGGAUAGAUUAUUGAAAUUAUUAAUCUUGAACGAGGAAUUCCUAGUAAACGCAGAUCAUCAAUCUGCAUUGAUUACGACCCUGCCCUUUGUACACACCGCCCGUCGCACCUACCGAUUGGAUGGUCCGGUGAAGCCUCGGGAUUGUGGUUCUUGCCGCUUUAUUGUGGCGUGACCGCGAGAACUUGUCUAAACCUUAUCAUCUAGAGGAAGGUGAAGUCGUAACA
rnacentral:rRNA from 1 species